rnacentral:rRNA from 1 species
GACGGAAGGUGCAAGCGUUGCUCGGAAUCACUGGGCGUAAAGGGUGCGUAGGCGGCUUGGUAGGUCUGGUGUGAAAGCCCCGGGCUCAGCCCGGGAAGGGCACUAGAAACUGCCAAGCUAGAGUGCCGGAGGGGAGAGUGGAAUUCCUGGUGUAGCGGUGAAAUGCGUAGAGAUCAGGAGGAAUACCGGUGGCGAAAGCGACUCUCUGGACGGCAACUGACGCUGAGGCACGAAAGCUAGGGGAGCGAACAGG